rnacentral:rRNA from 1 species
UAGGAAUAUACCUUAAAAGUGGGGGGACAACUUGGGGAAACUCAAGCUAAUACCGCAUAAUCUCUGAGGAGAGAAGCUGGGGACCUUCGGGCCUGGCGCUUUAAGAUUAGCCUGCGUCCGAUUAGCUAGUUGGUAGGGUAAGGCCUACCAAGGCGACGAUCGGUAGCUGGUCUGAGAGGAUGGCCAGCCCACACGUGGGACUGAGACACGGCCCAGACCUCCGUACGGGAGGCAG